rnacentral:lncRNA from 1 species
AGCCAAUGGCCUUGUGUCAUGUUGUUGACCAGUGUAUGACUUAAAGAAUAUGGAAGAUACAACAUUGGAAGAAAAGUGCCAAGACGAGUUGUGGCCAAGAGGACUGUGUAAAUUAAAAGAUAAGAUAUUACAUUUAAAGACUGAUCUUUUUUAUUUUAAUAUUUGUAGAUAUGAGCAAAAAUGUUUUACCUUUUUAAAAUUAUCUCAAAGUAUAGAGCAAGCAAUAGACAGAAAAGAUAAAAAAAAGUAUAUAGCAAUUUAUUUUUGAUUCUAUGUUAAAAGUAAAAAAGAAAAAAUUGGCUUUUUAUAAAAAGAAAUUAAAAUGUAAAUUAAAAUAUUUGAAUUUAGAUAAUAAGUAUAAAUUAAGUAGAUUAGAAUACAAAAAUAGUAGUUAUUUUAAGAAAAAA